rnacentral:rRNA from 1 species
UGCAAGUCGAACGUGAAAGUAGCAAUACGAGUAAAGUGGCGUACGGGUGAGUAACACGUAGGUAAUCUACCUGAUUGUCUGGAAUAACCGGCCGAAAGGCUGGCUAAUACUGGAUAGAGCGACGGAAUCCGUAAUUGGGUUUUUCGGGAAAGGGAGCUCGCAAGAGCCUUCGCAGUCAGAUGAGCCUGCGUCUCAUUAGCUAGUUGGUGGGGUAAUGGCCCACCAAGGCUUUGAUGGGUAGCUGGUCUGAGAGGAUGAUCAGCCACACUGGAACUGAAACACGGUCCAGACUCCUACGGGAGGCAGCAGUGGGGAAUCUUGCGCAAUGGACGAAAGUCUGACGCAGCCACGCCGCGUGAGUGAAGAAGGCCUUCGGGUUGUAAAGCUCUGUCGGGCGGGACGAAAAUCUUUAAGGUUAAUAGCCUUAGAGACUGACGGUACCGCCAAAGGAAGCACCGGCUAACUUCGUGCCAGCAGCCGCGGUAAUACGAAGGGUGCGAGCGUUGCUCGGAAUUAUUGGGCGUAAAGGGUAGGUAGGUUGUCUCAUUUGUCUGGGGUGAAAGCCUUGAGCUUAACUCAAGAAGUGCCCCAGAAACGGUGAGACUAGAAUCUGUGAGAGGGUCGUGGAAUUCCCGGUGUAGCGGUGAAAUGCGUAGAGAUCGGGAGGAACACCAGAGGCGAAGGCGGCGACCUGGAACAGUAUUGACACUCAACUACGAAAGCGUGGGUAGCAAACAGGAUUAGAUACCCUGGUAGUCCACGCCGUA